rnacentral:rRNA from 1 species
UACGUAGGGAGCAAGCGUUAUCCGGAAUCACUGGGCGUAAAGCGUGCGUAGGCGGUCCAUCAAGCCUGAGGUGAAAGGCAACGGCUCAACCGUUGUAAGCCUUGGGAACUGUUGGACUUGAGUACAGGAGAGGAAAGUGGAAUUCCUAGUGUAGCGGUGAAAUGCGUAGAUAUUAGGAGGAACACCAGUGGCGAAGGCGACUUUCUGGACUGUAACUGACGCUGAGGCACGAAAGCGUGGGGAGC